ensembl:lncRNA
AGGACGGUGUGUGUGUGCGCAGACGAGCUGUGUUUGACUCCACUGAGCCCAAAGGGUUUCGGAGGGUGGAGUGACUCAUAUCUCACCCUUGGGCUCUGACUCUCAAAAUGCAUUUAUUCCGCUUUUCCCUUCUAACCUUUUUUUUUUCUCCAGUGUUCGUUUUUAUAUCUCAUCAGCAAACUUCACUGCGAUCUGAACUCGGGAGCGAUUUAAAAUCAUCUUUCCACAUCAUGUUGAGUGUAAGAAGAGGGAGGGGGAGUGGGGAUGACGAAAAGCGAGACAGACAGGCAGACAGACGAGCAACGGCGAGGGCAGAGAAUGGAGCAAUUGCUAAAGGCUCAUUCAUUCUGACAGUGUUCAUGGCACCAGUCAGAGCGUCCCAAAAGACAGAAGGAGGAUGGACCAGACCUCUGACACACAGACAGCCUGUCCUCGCUGACCGGCUUCACCUCAUCUGAACAGGCGGUCGCACUGGGAGACUUAUCCGGGUUCUGAGGAGAGGGUUGAUACGACAGCCACAUAGUUUUACAAUUUGCAUUCGAGCAGCCUGAGCAUUUUCAUAACCUUUUCAUGUCAUUUGCCUAUAUUUUGUUUUUCUGAUGACUUUCCGUCUGAAUUCAAUCGCCAAACCACAACAACAGCCGCCUCAAGGCGUUUUAUAUUGUAAGGUAGACCCUACAAUAAUACAUACAGGAAGAAACCUCUGGCAGAACCAGACUCAGGGAGGGGCGGGGCCAUCUACCGUGACCGGUUGAGGUGAGAGAAGGAAGACAGGAUAAAGACUUGUACAGUAACGUGUGUUACAUUACAGCUGCUGCUGUUAGCUAGCUAGCAUUGGCAGAGAUGUAGUUCUUUUUAAUUUAACUGAACACAAAAAUAAUAACUAAUACAUUAAUAUCAAAUAAUAAUACUUUCAGCCGAGACAGGACUCACAUAUUCUUAUAUCAUGCCUGAUCCUUCUGACUUCACUGCGGCACAAGUCACUUUAACACCCCACUUACACAAUGUGCAUUCACAAAUUUCGAAGUGUAAAUUUCCAGAUUGUUUUAUUUUAUUUAACUUACUUAAUGUAUAUAAUUCACUCACUUAUUGCACAUAAUGUCCUCUUUGUAUAUAUUUACUUACUUACUGUAUAUAAUGUUUUCUCUCUCUUUUUCGCACAGUCGAGGAGCGUAUUAGGUCACAUUUCACUGUGUGUUAUACUCGUAUAACUAUUCACGUGACAAAUAAAAGAUCUUGAAUCUUGAAAAAUAAAUAUGACUGAAUAUUACACAAGCACGUGAACAAAAAAACACAAGGCUGACAAAGCCGGCCUGACACGAGGUACAGAAAAUAUCUACUGCACAGUCUAUAGUCUGAGCCCAGCAUCACAGAUUUGGGUUCUUUGAUCAAACCAACUCUAGGUUUCCUUCACUUCACGUGGUUGAUGGUACCUUUUCAAAAAUUAGCAAUCAUCACUUAGCCUUGAUUUGUAGAGGGGUUCCUAAUCAAACUAUACUACUUUUUUUUCUCUGUUAAAAGAAAUCAAAUGAUCAAUCGCUUAUCAAACUGGCAAUUAAUCAAUGUCAGUCAACUCAUGCGUUAACUAAUUCGUUUCAAGGGGAAGUAAUGAAGCUGAGUUGUUUAUUUGAGGUCAACAACUCCUUGAAUAUACUCAGUACGCAAUUAGGUGAAUCGAGCCUUGAUAUGUUCUAUUAAUUGUACAGGUGAGGUGUUGAGAAAUCUCCAUAAUUAUCAUUAAAAAACUAAUGUUAUAAGGCUUUGGGGGAUACUUGCCUCAUUUUUUUUUAAAUAAAAAAUAUGACAGCUGGUAUUAAUCCUGAUUUAAUUGUCUUCCUUUCAUGGGAUUACUGAUAUCCUGUUUCAAAUCAAAAUUUCACUUCUCCUUUUUCCUUUUCCUCAUCUUUCUUGUCAUGUUAUGAGAGCAGAGCACUCACCAGUGCCGCACUUUUUUCAACCUUUGCAUCUAAAGCCUUAUUAUUUUUAAAAGCUACUUAACUGUUACAUUUAUCAGUCAUAUCAAAUGUUUACAUCUGCAAUAGUCAUACUCAUGCAUUUAGGGAAAAAGUGAACUUUCCAUGUAUCAUUUACCUAUCUA